GUCAUAAAUAGGUUAAUACCUGCCUGCUAAGCUCGGUGUUUCGCAGUUCAAGUCUGUGAUUAUGAUG
rnacentral:tRNA from 1 species